AGCACACUGAUGGAAAUUUCCAGAGAUAUUUCUACCUCCCUCACAUCUUUAAUUUUUCAAAUGGACCUCUCUCCAGUUGCCAGGCUGACUCUGCUGCCAAAGCCAGGAGAAUGCUGGCAGCUCCCCAGGGAAGCAUUUUAAUCUCCAGCAUCAAACCAGACCCCUCUUCCAUCCGCCAUCUGCCUGUCUCCAGCCACCUCCAUCCAGGGAAAGCAGGAUGGGACUGAAGGCCUAAUCGGAUCACGGCUCCCGUGUUGUGCACUAAUCAGAUUGUGCUGCAGCCGGGUCCUGCCAGGGGAGCCUUCAGACUCCAGUCUAAGCCUGCUCAGACGGCACCCUCUCUCCUCCCAUCUCAAUUGGAGAGGAGUGGAGGUGAGUCUGGCAUCUCAGAAUUGCUCAGAGGUCUGCGUUAAUGCAGUUUGCUUGGGGUAAGAGCCGGCUCCUGUCUGUGACCUUGAGAAAGUAAUGCAUUCUCUCUGGGUCCAGCAUCCUGUACCCUGUAGCCAGUAACGAAAUCUCUCCUCAGCUAUCAUGCUUGGGCCCUCUGGGCCCUAUUUGGGUAUUUUUAUAAAGUUGUAAACAGCUGGACAUCACAUUCCUCCCACGGAAAGUGGCGUCUUUCAUGGCCCCGUUGUUUUGCUUCCAGGGAGAGAACAGGUCAAGCUUCCCCCAGAGCGUGCUGUGCGGCUGGGUCAAAGGUCAAAGUCAGCCAUUUGGCACAUGCAGAACAGAGUGCUGGGGUGGGGGUGGGGGAUUAUAAGGGAGGCAGGGGCCUUGGAAAGAGUUCUGGGUGAGGGUUUGGCAGCAGCUCUGGAUUUUAGGGAAGGGCAGAGCUGAGGUGAGCGAGCCGGGGUAGCAUUAUACCUGGUUGCCCAGUGACUGAGAGCCUAUAGUUACUGCUUUCUAAUUUGGUGGCUUGAUAGAGCUACUGCCUACCCUGGUUUGUAUCACACAUGCACACACGCAUGUGGGAACACACACACUUUGCCUGGCUGUCUAUCUUCCCCCAGGCAGAUUUUCCCUCCACAACUGAAGAGUCUGCCCUGGUGAUAUGAAACCACCUGGCCCAGCCUCCACCCAGGUCCUAUUCUGGAUUAGGCAAGCCAUUUACACCAUCAAGGCUGUUUUGUGACUCAGUCUCCAGUUUACCGAUCAGACCUAUGACCGUAUCUAAUCUGCGCUUUACUCUGAGAGGACGGGACUUGGGAGAAACCUUCACUCAGGUUUCUGGAACCCUCCUGGGCACCCACCUUCUGCCCAACUCAUCCAUUUUGUCACUUCCUGCUAGGUUUACACUGGGCAGAGCCUCAGCUCUCCCAUUGUUCUAGUUCCUGCCGCUGAGCUCUUCUUGGUGAAUCACACUCCCUGUUCAACCAGGCCUGUGGCUGUGCAAAGCUUUAGCUCAGCCUCUGUGCCUCCUACCCUGCUCUUUCCGAGUCAGGCAAACUCCAGCAGUUGCCGUAUCCUGUGUCUAGCAUCCUGGCACUGUCCAGUUCACUGCACUGGCUGGCUGAGUCUCCUCAUCCUUUGGCUACUUCUGCCUGACUCAGGAGUCUGGGGCUUUACCCAUAUGGCUGGGGGUGGGGGUUGGGUGAGCCUGUCCUGUGUGAUGGCUUUACAAGGAGAGAAAUGAGCUAAGAGUUCCAGGAUUUAUCCAGGAUGUCUCAGGUUCCCGUCUACAUCAAAGCCUCCUCCUGCCCCCUCCCGUCCCAUCGCCCCUCCCCCAAUGCCUGCCCAGGGCUGUCAGUAGGCAGGCGUUCCUUGCUGCCCUUCUCCAUCUUCAUGCUGACCCUUCCCUUGUUCAUAAUUCAGGCCGUCCUUGGUGGGGAUGGGCUCCCCAGGUGUUGUAGCUCCAACAGGGUGAUUGGUCUCUGAGAGUCACUAUAGCCCACUGGAGGCCCUGGGCAGGCAGCCUGAUCUCUCCCCAGGCUCCUUGUUUCCAGAUAGAAUCUGUGAGUGAGGCCUGUGUGUUUGUUUCUCGGUAUUAAAUUUAUCUUGGUGGGAACUUA
rnacentral:lncRNA from 1 species